rnacentral:tRNA from 1 species
CAGGGAAUAGUUUAAGAAGAAUCUCAG